CUGGACGUAGCUCAACCUGGUAGAGUGACUGGUUCGGGACCGGCCGAUCCGAGUUCGAAUCUCGGCGUUCAGA
rnacentral:tRNA from 1 species